AGUGAACGCUGGCGGUAGGCCUAACACAUGCAAGUCGAACGGCAGCACAGUAAGAGCUUGCUCUUACGGGUGGCGAGUGGCGGACGGGUGAGGAAUACAUCGGAAUCUACUUUUUCGUGGGGGAUAACGUAGGGAAACUUACGCUAAUACCGCAUACGACCUACGGGUGAAAGCAGGGGAUCUUCGGACCUUGCGCGAUUGAAUGAGCCGAUGUCGGAUUAGCUAGUUGGCGGGGUAAAGGCCCACCAAGGCGACGAUCCGUAGCUGGUCUGAGAGGAUGAUCCGCCACACUGGAACUGAGACACGGUCCAGACUCCUACGGGAGGCAGCAGUGGGGAAUAUUGGACAAUGGGCGCAGACCUGAUCCAGCCAUACCGCGUGGGUGAAGAAGGCCUUCGGGUUGUAAAGCCCUUUUGUUGGGAAAGAAAAGCAGCAGGUUAAUACCCCGCUGUUCUGACGGUACCCAAAGAAUAAGCACCGGCUAACUUCGUG
rnacentral:rRNA from 1 species